GGGGAUCUUGGCCUCACGGUGUAAGAAGGGAGAGGAUGGUUUCUCUUCUGCCCUCACUAGGGCCUAGGGAACCCAGGAGCAAAUCCCACCACGCCUUCCAUCUCUCAGCCAAGGAGAAGCCACCUUGGUGACGUUUAGUUCCAACCAUUAUAGUAAGUGGAGAAGGGAUUGGCCUGGAGCAGAUGACACCAUCAGAAGCAU
rnacentral:lncRNA from 1 species